ACGACAAUUACACAAAUUAGUCGGGAGAAUUUCAAAUAUUCGUAGCAAUGUGUCGUUUUAUCAAAGACAAGUUUUUAUUGAUUUUCUUGCCGUUAUAUCAAUGAAGAUGGCGGAAAUUGUGUGGCAAAUUCCCACACAAAUCUCGAUUUCAAAUAUUUCUGCCUGAAAGACGCUUGGAUAUCUGCCUGUAAGCAUUUGGUGCCUCGUUUGUUGCCAGCACUGCAGCCUACAAUAUUCCAGUACCAAUCACUGUUCAAAGAAGAUUGACUUUCCAUAGGACCUGCGUGUGUUUUGGGUCUUUUCGUGAGUUGAAUUCAGAGUGAUUAAGUUAUAUGUAUCACCACAAAUACUGAUGAACUGAUCAGUUUUUCGUACAAUAACAGGCGUUUGUAGGAUAUGAGACACAAAAAUGAUCGUAACAAAGAUAUUUCUCUGUGAAAUUAGGGAAGCUUUUUUCUUUUCCCUUCAAUAUAAAAUCAAUUACUUAUGGAACACUCAAUAAACUUUUCCGGUUGGUCUCACAAUUCUUGAAAUAACAUUUGAAACUCUCCAUGGUCUCCUCAGUUAUAAAAUAGGGAACUUAUUGAUAUGCUCUGUUGUUCUACCAACUCAACAAAAAAAAAAUCAUUGAAAAGUUUUGUAUGAACUCACAUGCAUAAUAGCCAUUGCCUAAGAUCAGAACCUCAGUCUAGACCCCAAAAAAUUUCAUUACGUUCUUCCUCAAAACUGAGGUUCUGACAAUUGAUUUCAUUUUAAGCUUUUAUUAGUUAAAACUCUCAGAUUCAUCAACAUUGAUCAAAAUCGUUGAUUAGUUAAUUUAGGCUUCAAUAGAAUUGAAGCAGACUUAUUGACUGAAACACCUUUUGUGAAAAAUAAAUUGUAUGCCCUUUAUACUACAUUGCAUAAUUUCAGCUGGAAUGUUUCACAAUAAAAACAAGAAUUUAGAAAAGCUUUGAAUUAAAAGAAGAGGUCUUAAAAUGUGUUUGAAAAAUUGAAAUAAUUUUCAUUUGUUUUACAACAUCUAAAUAUUUAGCAGAAGUUCAAAAUAUUAUAAAACAUCUUUGAAGAUGUUCUUGAGAAAACAUUUUGUACUGAGUUGAAGUUGCUGUGGUUCUCAAAUUUAAUAUAGACAGACUGCAAAGUACUGGAUCAAUUACAUUUUCCAGACUAUUAAUUGAAUCAGAAUUUUAAUAUUUCAAGAGCAAUUCAUAAAUAAGUUUUGUUGAUCAACUUCUGAGUAGAUGAAAUAAUCGUAUCUCUGCGUAUUUUUUCACAUCUCCAAAUAUCGGAUUGCUUCAAAAUAAGCAGUUUUAAAAUCAAUACAUUAACCAUGAUCUGGGUUUAAGCCGAAUCACCUACAAAAUUAACUCAGUCAUCAUCUGAUAUUAUCUGACAAUAAAUAAUUGAAAUAAUAAUUCUAAAUAUUUCAAUUCCAUGUUGAUAUCAUGUUCAAAGAAAGUUUCAAGAUAACCAAUUUGAUAAUGAUAAUUUCUUUUGGGAAUAUCAAAAUUAUAUACACACACACACACGCAAGUCACACUUGAAUGAGUGUGAACUAUUUCACAAAGCAUAUAUCUGAUUCAAUUUUCAUUGGAAUAACAUGAUAUUGAAAUCUGAUAUGCAUCACCAAAUUUGUUUGUUGGAGCUUGAUCUCUGUUCCAGAAAUGAAACUAUUUUUUCAAAUAUUUAUUGGUUUAUUUCGUUUUUGAAUGUAGCAUUGAUUAUUUGAUGAGUAUCCAUAAUCAAAUGAAAAAGACUGAAUGCUAUGAUUUUAUUAAAAUUGAACAGGUUGUCCUGAGUCAUUAUUCACAAAUCAGUAGUUAGUAGAGAAGAUACUUUUGAUCUUGAUGAGUACCUACCAUAUUCAUAGUUAUUAGAUAACUUGUUGCAUUUUCUAACAUACAGAAAACGAACAACACCCGAGCAUGUUUAGGUACAUACCCACUUCACAAGCUUAAAAUAAUUCCAACUAUCAAUUUCUUAUUGAAAAUUGAAUAUUGGGCUUGUACAUUCACCUCAAUGGGUUGUUUGCAUAAAGAAGAGUUGAAGUAAGUUCAAUAAAUUGCAGUAAAAGCAUUUACUACUUCUUUAUGCAUAUGGCCCAUUAGAGGAAUAAUUUAAUUCAUACAGACUAGUAUACACCUAGAAAUCUAACGAGCUGAACAAAAAUUGAGAUCAAUUCAUUCAACAGCAUCUAAGAAAUUCUAGAAAGUUACACUGUCUUCGGAUAAAGUUUUACAAAUAUGCAAAUAAUGCUGAACCAGUAGAGUUGAUUGUUACACAAGACAUCACUUGUAUUCAUUAAUAAGAAGGAUUAAUUAUGUUUGAGUUCAGAAUGGAAUUUCAAUAAUUUGGAGUUGACUUAACUUCAGGAUAUCGCUUGGAAAUGAUCAACUUACAACUAAAACUAAUAUGCAGAAAAUUAUAAUAUCUAUGAUUAGAAAACCUGUUAUGAUAUGUGAUAUUGAAAAUUUAGUUUUUUUCGACAAAAUUGGUAAGAAUUCUUUGCAUGGAAUUGAAUAGUAAGGAAUUUAUAGAAAAAAAGGUUUCGCCGUACCAACCUUUGUAUUUUUUUAAUGAAAGUCAGAAUGUAUUCAGUAAACAUUUAAGUACAGUCAUAAAAUCAUUUCAACUUGAAGACAAAAGGACGAAUCUUGUUUCGAAUAGAAAAACAGAAAUAGUAUUCCCGAAUAUCUUCCCACAUCGAGGAAUUCGAAAUGUCAAAAGCGCCAUUCUGUAGAAGCAUGGGGACAUCUCAUGACAGAAAUUAGAGUUAGAAAUGACGAAAAAUUAAUGGUUAUAACAAUCACGUUUUGUGAAACUUCAUAUAGAAUCGAGA